GCCCCUGUGAUGGAAUUGGUAGACAUGCGAGUUUUAGGAACUCGUGCUUUAGCGUGUCGGUUCGAGUCCGACCGGGGGCA
rnacentral:tRNA from 1 species